AACGAACGCUGGCGGCAGGCCUAACACAUGCAAGUCGAACGCUGUAGCAAUACAGAGUGGCAGACGGGUGAGUAACGCGUGGGAACCUUCCUUGUGGUACGGAAUAGCUCAGGGAAACUUGAGGUAAUACCGUAUAUUCCCUAUGGGGGAAAGAUUUAUCGCCACAAGAUGGGCCCGCGUUGGAUUAGCUAGUUGGUGAGGUAACGGCUCACCAAGGCGACGAUCCAUAGCUGGUUUGAGAGAAUGACCAGCCACACUGGGACUGAGACACGGCCCAGACUCCUACGGGAGGCAGCAGUGGGGAAUCUUGGACAAUGGGCGCAAGCCUGAUCCAGCCAUGCCGCGUGAGUGAUGAAGGCCUUCGGGUUGUAAAGCUCUUUUGCCGGGGACGAUAAUGACGGUACCCGGAGAAUAAGCCCCGGCUAACUUCGUGCCAGCAGCCGCCGUAA
rnacentral:rRNA from 1 species